rnacentral:lncRNA from 1 species
UGAAUCAGGACCAGUGCAAUAAAUCACCCUCAAUACUUCCUGUGAAUGGCAACUGCUGAAGGGAAGCUUCUGCCUCUCAUCAUACACUGCCUCAGGGGGGAACAAAAUAGAUCAUUACAAUGGAGGCCAAAGAGUGGUUGAAUGUCUCUGCCGAAGGCUUUCAAUAAAUAUUUGUUGAAAAAGAAAGGAAGAAAGAAAAUGAAGAAGGAACGAAGGAGGAAAGGAAAGAAGGAAAGAAGGAAGGAAGGAGUUAAUGAAGACUCAAGGAGGAUGUUCUGCUCUGAUUGGCAGGGAGAGUUUGAAGGUGGGUUGGCAGAGACUGUGACCGCAACUGACUGCGUUCUGCAGAAUUAUGGUAAUGAAAUUGGAAGCCAACUUUCGUGAAGCAGAAAGCCUCAAGGUUCCAGGUGCUGUGCUCAGUCCAGGAAUACAAUGAUGAAUACGAUCAAGGCCCUUUCAGAGCUGACACACACUAUACAUAAUGCAUCAAAAAUUGCGUUCUCGCUAUAUUUCUGUUUAUUUGGUUUUAUCUGCAAGAAUAUAGAUAGCAUCUGCUUUGAUAUAAAACUUUUAUGUGUCUUAUGUAGUUGAUUUGUAAAUGUCCUAUCUAUAAAUAUAAAACAAUAAAUUACUAGUUACAGUUAACUUAGGAAAACUUUUAAUCAUGUCCUACAUUUUACACCUUGUAAUUUCUACCAAAUGUUUGUAUUUUUAUGUCUUAUUAAAUAUAAUAAAUAUUUGUCUUAACAUAUUUUAAUAGAAUUCCUCAUAUGUUUUGCAGAAAGCUAAUUAUGGUUUUCCAUGUGAUUUUUC